rnacentral:rRNA from 1 species
AUACGGAGGGCGCAAGCGUUAAUCGGAAUUACUGGGCGUAAAGCGUACGUAGGCGGUUCGUUAAGUUAGAUGUGAAAGCCCCGGGCUUAACCUGGGAACUGCAUUUAAAACUGGCGAACUAGAGUUGAGUAGAGGGGAGUGGAAUUUCAGGUGUAGCGGUGAAAUGCGUAGAGAUCUGAAGGAACACCAGUGGCGAAGGCGACUCCCUGGACUCGAACUGACGCUGAGGUACGAAAGCGUGGGUAGCAAACGGGAUUAGAAACCCUAGUAGUCC